ensembl:misc_RNA Y_RNA Y RNA
GGCUGGUCCGAUGGCAGUGGGUUACCAGAACUUACUAACAUUAGUGUCACUAAAGUUGGUAUACCCCGCCCCCCCACACCCCCCCACCCCACCACUGCUAAAUUUGACUGGCUAAAA